AUUGAACGCUGGCGGCAGGCCUAACACAUGCAAGUCGCACGAGUGGCGGACGGGUGAGUAAUGUCUGGGAAACUGCCUGAUGGAGGGGGAUAACUACUGGAAACGGUAGCUAAUACAGCAUACCAUCGGAUGUGCCCAGCUGGGAUUAGCUAGUAGGUUGGGUAAAGGCUCACCUAGGCGACGAUCCCUAGCUGGUCUGACAGGAUGACCAGACACACUGGAAGUGGGACACGUGCCAGACUCCGUCGGGAGGCAGCAGUGGGGAAUAUGGCACAAUGGGAGCAAGCAUGAUGCAGCCAUGCCGCGUGUAUGAAGAAGGCCGUCGGGUUGUAAAGUACUGUCAGCGGGGAGGCGUUACCCGCAGAAGAAGCACCGGCUAACUCCGUGACAGCAGCCGCGGUAAUAC
rnacentral:rRNA from 1 species